CACAUUUACCUGUAUGAACCAGGGAUGUGUCUUUCAAGCAUCAUUAAGUGAGCCUGGAAGGAAAAUGGGACUUCUACCAAAGGUUAAAAUUGUUCAGAAGAUGGAUAAAAUAAAAUUUGCUGGAAAGGAAUGAGAAAAAAGCUGGUGGAAGAUGGCUCUACAAUAAAUCCAUUAUAAUAUCUAAAUAUUAAAAGUUAUUAUACAGAAGUG